UCCUUGAAAAAGGGAGUUCAAGAAGAGCUUCGAAGAAGCUUUCUUGAUGGAGGGGAGUGGCAGACGGGUGAGUAACGCGUGGGAACAUACCCUUAUCUUCGGAACAACUCCGGGAAACUGGAGCUAAUACCGAAUGUGCCCUUAGGGGGAAAGAUUUAUCGGAUAAGGAUUGGCCCGCGUUGGAUUAGCUAGUUGGUGAGGUAAUGGCUCACCAAGGCUACGAUAAGUAGCUGAUCUGAGUGGAUGAUCAGCCACAUUGGGACUGAGACACGGCCCAAACUCCUACGGGAGGCAGCAGUGGGGAAUAUUGGACAAUGGGCGCAAGCCUGAUCCAGCCAUGCCGCGUGAGUGAUGAAGGCCUUCGGGUUGUAAAGCUCUUUUAUCCGGGAAGAUAAUGACUGUACCGGAAGAAUAAGCCCCGGCAAACCUCGUGCCAGCAGCCGCAGUAA
rnacentral:rRNA from 1 species